AGCGAACGCUGGCGGCAGGCCUAACACAUGCAAGUCGAACGAAGUCUUCGGACUUAGUGGCGGACGGGUGAGUAACACGUGGGAACGUGCCUUUAGGUUCGGAAUAACUCAGGGAAACUUGUGCUAAUACCGAAUGUGCCCUUCGGGGGAAAGAUUUAUCGCCUUUAGAGCGGCCCGCGUCUGAUUAGCUAGUUGGUGAGGUAAUGGCUCACCAAGGCUACGAUCAGUAGCUGGUCUGAGAGGAUGACCAGCCACAUUGGGACUGAGACACGGCCCAAACUCCUACGGGAGGCAGCAGUGGGGAAUCUUGCGCAAUGGGCGAAAGCCUGAAGCAGCCAUGCCGCGUGGAUGAUGAAGGUCUUAGGAUUGUAAAAUCCUUUCACCGGUGAAGAUAAUGACUGUAGCCGGAGAAGAAGCCCCGGCUAACUUCGUGCCAGCCGCCGCGGUAAAAC
rnacentral:rRNA from 1 species